UCGGGAAUAUUGCGCAAUGGAGGAAACUCUGACGCAGUGACGCCGCGUGCAGGAAGAAGGUUUUCGGAUUGUAAACUGCUUUAGACAGGGAAGAAGAAGUGACAGUACCUGUAGAAUAAGCUCCGGCUAACUACGUGCCAGCAGCCGCGGUAAUACGUAGGGAGCGAGCGUUAUCCGGAUUUAUUGGGUGUAAAGGGUGCGUAGACGGGAAAUCAAGUUAGUUGUGAAAUCCCUCGGCUUAACUGAGGAACUGCAACUAAAACUGAUUUUCUUGAGUACUGGAGAGGAAAGUGGAAUUCCUAGUGUAGCGGUGAAAUGCGUAGAUAUUAGGAGGAACACCAGUGGCGAAGGCGACUUUCUGGACAGAAACUGACGUUGAGGCACGAAAGUGUGGGGAGCAAACA
rnacentral:rRNA from 1 species